ACUGCUUGCAACAAAGGUAGGUUGGUAAAGUUUAUUUGCGUUUAGAAAUUAGAAUCGUGUCUGCGUUUUUAACUGAUGUGAAGCGAAUUGGGGUCGGUAAUUUUUCGGUUUGGAAUGGGUAAUGGUCUAAUGGAUUUGGAAUUGUUUGUUGGGUUUGGUAAAGUUUUCGGUUUGACCAUUUGGGUAGAAAAUUUGAAGAAAGAAAAAAGACAGAAAAAGAAACUGUAGCUUGUUAAUCCAGGAAGUCUUUUCUCGACGUUGUUUGAUUGUUUAAUGAACAUAUAUUUGGAAAAUUAGAGAAUGAAGAUCUUGAAAUUAAUUUAUUGUCUAAUUUCCUCAUUUGAUCCUUACAAUAUUAUUCUCAAUUAUGUAGUUAUGUUUAGUUCACUAAUAAUCAUCUACUUCAUAUUUUACAGCAGCUGAGUCGCCUACCGCCCCGAA
rnacentral:misc_RNA from 1 species